rnacentral:rRNA from 1 species
AUUGAACGCUGGCGGCAGGCCUAACACAUGCAAGUCGAGCGGAUGAAGGGAGCUUGCUCCUGGAUUCAGCGGCGGACGGGUGAGUAAUGCCUAGGAAUCUGCCUGGUAGUGGGGGAUAACGUCCGGAAACGGGCGCUAAUACCGCAUACGUCCUGAGGGAGAAAGUGGGGGAUCUUCGGACCUCACGCUAUCAGAUGAGCCUAGGUCGGAUUAGCUAGUUGGUGGGGUAAAGGCCUACCAAGGCGACGAUCCGUAACUGGUCUGAGAGGAUGAUCAGUCACACUGGAACUGAGACACGGUCCAGACUCCUACGGGAGGCAGCAGUGGGGAAUAUUGGACAAUGGGCGCAAGCCUGAUCCAGCCAUGCCGCGUGUGUGAAGAAGGUCUUCGGAUUGUAAAGCACUUUAAGUUGGGAGGAAGGGCAGUAAGUUAAUACCUUGCUGUUUUGACGGUACCAACAGAAUAAGCACCGGCUAACUUCGUG